rnacentral:tRNA from 1 species
GCCUGGGUAGCUCAACCAGUUAGGUGUCUGACUUCAGCUCAGGUCAUGAUCUCAUGCUUUGUGGGUUCAAGCCCCACAUCAGGCU